rnacentral:rRNA from 1 species
GACGAACGCUGGCGGCGUGCUUAACGCAUGCAAGUCGAACGAAGAGCGAUGGAAGCUUGCUUCUAUCAAUCUUAGUGGCGAACGGGUGAGUAACGCGUAAUCAACCUGCCCUUCAGAGGGGGACAACAGUUGGAAACGACUGCUAAUACCGCAUACGAUCUAAUCUCGGCAUCGAGGAUAGAUGAAAGGUGGCCUCUACAUGUAAGCUAUCACUGAAGGAGGGGAUUGCGUCUGAUUAGCUAGUUGGAGGGGUAACGGCCCACCAAGGCGAUGAUCAGUAGCCGGUCUGAGAGGAUGAACGGCCACAUUGGGACUGAGACACGGCCCAGACUCCUACGGGAGGCAGCAGUGGGGAAUCUUCCGCAAUGGACGAAAGUCUGACGGAGCAACGCCGCGUGAGUGAUGACGGCCUUCGGGUUGUAAAGCUCUGUUAAUCGGGACGAAAGGCCUUCUUGCGAAUAGUGAGAAGGAUUGACGGUACCGGAAUAGAAAGCCACGGCUAACUACGU